rnacentral:rRNA from 1 species
GGUGAACGCUGGCGGCGUGCUUAAGACAUGCAAGUCGAACGGCAGUCUUCGGACUGUAGCGGCGCACGGGUGAGUAACGCGUAACUGACCUACCCCAAGGUCGCGGAUAACGAUUCGAAAGAAUCGCGAAUACGUGAUGUGCUGUCAGAUUGUGUUCUGCAAGUAAAGAUUGAUUGCUUUGGGAUGGGGUUGCGUUCCAUCAGCUAGUUGGUGGGGUAAAGGCCCACCAAGGCGACGACGGAUAGCCGGCCGGAGAGGGUGGCCGGCCACAGGGGCACUGAGACACGGGUCCCACUCCUACGGGAGGCAGCAGUUAGGAAUCUUCCACAAUGGGCGAAAGCCUGAUGGAGCGACGCCGCGCGAGGGAUGAAGGUCUUCGGAUCGUAAACCUCUGAAUCAGGGACGAAAGACACUUCGGUGGGAUGACGGUACCUGAGUAAUAGCACCGGCUAACUCCGUGCCAGCAGCCGCCGUAAGAC